rnacentral:rRNA from 1 species
GAGUUUGAUCGUGGCUCAGAUUGAACGCUGGCGGCAUGCCUUACACAUGCAAGUCGAACGGCAGCAUGAUCUAGCUUGCUAGAUUGAUGGCGAGUGGCGAACGGGUGAGUAAUACAUCGGAACGUGGCCCUGUAGUGGGGGAUAACUAGUCGAAAGAUUAGCUAAUACCGCAUACGACCUGAGGGUGAAAGUGGGGGACCGCAAGGCCUCAUGCUAUAGGAGCGGCCGAUGUCUGAUUAGGCUAGUUGGUGGGGUAAAGGCCCACCAAGGCGACGAUCAGUAGCUGGUCUGAGAGGAC